rnacentral:tRNA from 1 species
GCCGUGGUGGCGGAAUGGUAGACGCGCUGGUCUUAGGAACCAGUGGGGAAACCCGUAAGAGUUCGAGUCUCUUCCACGGCACCA